UGCGCGGAUACCUCACGAACAUAGCCGAGCAGUGUGAGGGCGCCGCCGCUGCCGACCUACCGACGAUGAUCAUUCUCGACAACCUGCUGGGAGAGCAGGUUGUUGAGGAUGAUCAUCGUCGGUAGGUCAGCAGGAUGUCUCCAGGCAAUGACUCCUUACCGGACCUGCAUGCAACAACGUCAUUAAUCGCUUAUCGAUAGCACAAACAGUCGAUGUUACUUACAAGAUCAGACGUAUUAUGUUUGUUGUAUGUUACGUAUGAUGUAGUAUAAUCAAUAAAUGAUUACAUGUUGUAUUGAAA